UACGUAGGGUGCAAGCGUUAUCCGGAAUUAUUGGGCGUAAAGAGCUCGUAGGCGGUUUGUCACGUCUGCUGUGAAAACUGGAGGCUCAACCUCCAGCCUGCAGUGGGUACGGGCAGACUAGAGUGCGGUAGGGGAGAUUGGAAUUCCUGGUGUAGCGGUGGAAUGCGCAGAUAUCAGGAGGAACACCGAUGGCGAAGGCAGAUCUCUGGGCCGUAACUGACGCUCAUGUACGAAAGCGUGGGGAGCAAACAGG
rnacentral:rRNA from 1 species